CUCAUGACCAUGUGAAAUACAGGUUGAGAUAAUAUCCAAACAUCAAUGUAGCAGAAAGAUAUGUCACAGUGGAAAAGAAAACAGAUGAAGGAUCAAAGUUGCCCGUUGGAAUGCCAUCAUCCAGUGACCAAAUUAUAAAUGGCAUCUGGUAUCUACACAUGUACACUGCAAUCAAAGAUACUUGGGUGUCUGCACUCAAGCUAAACAAUUCAGGAUGUACUGCUGCACCCUCCCCUCAGCAUGUCUUGCUGCAAUAUGGUCAAUUCCAGGAUCAGGCCUGGUCUCAGGGUACAGACAUGAUUGAAAUCUGCUGAAAAUGUACAGAAUCAUACCCAAAAGCACUACAUCAGGAUGUCCCAAAGUGCUUUAUAGUCAUUGACACACCACGACACGUGUAGCCACUGUUGUACUGUCAGGAAUGCAGCAGCCAAUUUGCACAGAGAAAGCUCUCACAAACAGCAAAUGCUGCCAAACCUGCUGUGUCUCGCUAGCAGUUUCUGGUUUCAGUUCAGGUCUCGGGUUCUUUGUUUUAUUUUAGCAUUGAACCAUGGAUAUGAUUUCACUGCUCAGCCACUCUAAUAGAAGUGCCAGGAACAACACCAACCACUCUACACGACCUUCAUUGACCUGACAAAUUGACUCACUCAGUCAGGAAAUGCUGUGGAAGAUCCUGUGAAAGGCCACCUGCCCAGUGAAAUCAGCAUCCUCUGUCCCCUUUGCAGUGAGGUAUCAGUUCAGUCCUCAUCAAUGGGAAAUGACAGAAUAAGGUCAAGUAGAGAUAUGUCAUCACCUGCACCCUUUUCUCUAUCGUCAUCGCCACCAGUCUUCAUUUUGUCAAGAACAAACUCCCCAGUGAUCUGGACAUUGUCUGAGGAUGGACUAAAGAGUUUUCAAUCUCAACCCUUCAAAUCCCAAAAAAAUGUGACACUAAGCUCCCUUGUGAAACUUCAGUAUACAGAUGACAAUGUCAUCUCUGCUCUCUUGGAAGAAAAUCUGCAAGCCUCACUUAAUGCCCUUCACAGAAGAAUACCAAAGAAUGGUCUUAACUAUGACCUCAAGAUGACUCAAAUCCUUUACCCAAAUGUCCCAGGUCAAGUUCCAUUCAGAUCAACAGAGAAAUCCUCUCAAACAUGGAACAUUACCACUAUCUGGGAAUCUACCUCUGAUCUAAAGCUGACUGCGAUGUGGAGUUUCAUCACAUCCAAUCGCCCAGCACCAUCUUUGGACACCGGAGAUUGGGUGGCUUUGAUGACCAUACCAUCCAUGCUGAUACCAAAAUCCUUGGUGAACAAGAUAGUCAUCCUUCAGACUUUCUAUAUGGUUGUGAAACUUGGACCACGAAUGGACACCACCUCAAAGCUCUUGAGAAGUACCUACCAUUAACAUUGUUUAAGAUGGAUUCUCUGCAUCAGCUGGGAGAUCCAGUGUCCUUGAAACAGCUAACAGCACCAGCAUCGGGAGGUCGUGAUCAUCCAAAACCAACACUGCUGGGCCAGCCAUGCAAAUUUUCUUCGCCUUGCUCAGGAAAGCAAUCAAAUGGGAGGAGAACAAAGAAAGUGGUUCAAAGACUCUCUGAAAGCUUCCCUCAAGAAAUCCAAUGUAGAUGUCAAUAUAGACACCAACGUAUGGGAGAUCCAUUAUCAGAAGAAACUGGGUUAGGGGAAGUCCUGGAUGAAGGGAAACAUUUCUUUGAGAACACCCAGCUGCAAGAAGUAGUACAGAAAGGGAACUAGAGAAAGGAAAGUCAAUGAUCUCGAUGACAAGGACCCAUUCCAACUUCCGGAAACAUUUACCAAAUGUAUGGUCCAAGAUGCAGCUCUCAGAUUGGGGCUCAUCAGACAUGCAAGGACUCCUGACGAGUAACGUGUAUUUAUUAGUGAGUGAUGGCCAAUGACAAGAGUUGUCUGGAUGGGUAAAGUACAAGUAACACACAAAACCAUUCAGAAUAAAGCAGCUAUUGGUUGGAACCCCAUCCAUCACCUCAAGCAUUCAAUGCUUGUAUCACCAAUGAACAUUGGCAGUGUGUACCAUCUAAAGAUGCAUGACAGUAAUUCACAAAGUGUCCUUCAACCACACCUUCCAAACAUACAGCCUCUACCAAUGAGAGGGCCACACCAUCCUGACUUAUGAACAAUAUCGUUGGUGCCUCUCUGUUGCAGGAUUAAAAUCCUGGAACUCCUUAACACUGCUGUCGAUGCGAACUGCAGCAGUUCAAGAAAAUGGCUCACCACUAUUCAGGGGCAGGAACAGAAAUCACAGACUACUCAUGACCCAGGCCUCUACCCCCUCACCAGAGGCUAGCAAUGCCACCCCAUAGCCAAGCAUACCAGCCCCAUCCCCAGCACAGUACGCCGGUCCUCUGAUCAAGCACAAUAUGUUCUUUAGGUCCAUUGGUACCAGUUAUUGGGCCCUGACGCAACUCCUGUUCCCAUCCCCUUCCACCACCUUCUCAAAGGCAAAUACAAAGGGUAGUAAAUGCUGGCCAACCAAUGAUACCCAAAUCCCAUGAAAGACUGAGAAAAAAGUUGCUUACAGUCCAGUGGACUAUGGCUAAUUAUGGGCACAACUGUUUGUUGUAUAUGCUGCAGAACUAACCAUUACCAUUAAUGAUUGGGAAGGAGUACUGCCAUGAAUCCUCCUUGCUAUACCAGGUCUAUUUGAAUAGCAGUAGUAGAGAAUGAGUCUUAAUGAGAAGAGGCAUUUUCCUUAAGAAAAUGUGCUUUAUUGCAUGAUAGCAAUGUGAAUGAGUUACAUCGGCUACUUUGACAAAAUAACUAAGACUCUCUGGAAAUACUGAUGACACAUCUGCCUUCAUCAGAAUCCUCAGGCAGAUUCCUCUUUUCUCCAGCCAAGACUCUAUGAGAUCAUCAGAUUGAGUGAAGCUUAAAGCAGUCUCCAACAUUAACCUUUCAGAAUGAUUAUCUUAUAUCACAAUCGUGUCUCGUUGAAUCAUACAGAUUUAAAGGCAUUGGGUUCAUUGAGUCAAAGCUUCUGUUAAGAUCCCCUCUUAGUAUUUGCUUUUACAAAGAAGGGAGCUCUACUCAUAAUUUUACAUUUCUGAAAAUAUUCAACUUUCGAGACAGCAAGCCAAAGAGCUUGAAUACCCUUUAUGGAAAAAAUACACCUCUAUGGUGGAGGUACAGAAACCACUGCAAACAAUCCCCAAGUGGGCAUAAUCAGUAGAAUUUCUACUUUAUACUGGGUGAGAGAAACCUGAACUUGGAAAAUUAAAAUGUAAACAUAAAAGCUGACUUACAAUCUUAGAAUUUCAAAUCUUGGUAAAGUUUAUUCAACAGACACAGUAUUGCAUUGCUCUCUGGUCAGGAAACAAGAAAAGUGAGUGCUAAUUUAGUACAGAUCCUUUCUGUUCUGUGGUCACUAUUGCACUGCAAGAAACACUGAAUCUAAUUUGUGCAUAGAAAGCUCUCACUAAUAGCCAUGGUUUUGACAAAAUAAUUUA